CGCUCCAUUGAAUUUAUAGGGAGUCGUGCCUGCUCGGUGCAUAUAUGGAAAAUUGUAAACGGCGGCGGUUUUAACAUCAGCUUUAAAGUAGCGCAAUUAAUUGCCCCCUAAUUAGGGGAGGGAAUGAAUGGCUUGACGAGAGUCCAACUGUAUCAAUGUUAGAUAUCAAAAUCUUUUAAGGGUAAAAAUACCCAAGUAUUUUUAGUAGACGAGAAGACCCUGUUGAGCUUGAAUAAUAAGCUAACGGAAAAUAAAGCUUAGAAAGUUUAGAUGGGAGAUCGGUUAAUGAAAAGGAUCAUAAAUUAAAAAUAAAUGACAAGGAUCCAUUAAAGAUGAAAAAAGGAAAAAGCUACCAUAGGGAUAACAGCGUAAUUUUUUUUGAGAGCUCGAAUUGAAGAAAAAGGUUGCGACCUCGAUGUUGAAUCUGGAUAUCCUUAAGGUUGCAGAAGUUUUAAAGGGUUGGUCUGUUCGACCAUUAAAAUCCA
rnacentral:rRNA from 1 species